rfam:Oryza glumipatula chromosome 6, whole genome shotgun sequence.
UUUAAAUGCAGUUGUGAGUUUUUUUUUCCAACGUUUGACCGUUCGUCUUAUUUGAAAUUCUUUUAUAAUUAAUAUUUUUAUUGUUAGUAGAUGAUAAAACAUAAAUAGUACUUGAUGUAUGACUUAUUUUUUUUCAUAAAUUUUUCAAAUAAGAUGGAUGAUCAAACGUCGGACACGGAAACCUACGACUGUACUUAAA